rnacentral:rRNA from 1 species
GCUUAUCACCAUUCCAGAUUGAAUAUACCCGAUCUCGUCUGAUCUCGGAAGUCAAGCAAUCUCGAGCUUGGUUAAUACUUGGAUGGGUGACCGCUUGGGAAUACCAAGUGUGAUAAGCA